ACGAAAGGCGUAACGAUUUGGGCACUGUCUCAACAACAGACUCGGUGAAAUUGUAAUUCCGGUGAAGAUGCCGGAUACCUGCGACAGGACGGAAAGACCCCAUGGAGCUUUACUGUAGCUUGACAUUGGGUCUUGGUACUACAUGUACAGGAUAGGUGGGAGGCUUUGAAACCAGGACGCCAGUUUUGGCGGAGCCAUCCUUGGGAU
rnacentral:rRNA from 1 species